rnacentral:rRNA from 1 species
GAUGAACGCUGGCGGCGUGCCUAAUACAUGCAAGUCGAGCGAACAGACGAGGAGCUUGCUCCUCUGACGUUAGCGGCGGACGGGUGAGUAACACGUGGAUAACCUACCUAUAAGACUGGGAUAACUUCGGGAAACCGGAGCUAAUACCGGAUAAUAUAUUGAACCGCAUGGUUCGAUAGUGAAAGACGGUUUUGCUGUCACUUAUAGAUGGAUCCGCGCCGCAUUAGCUAGUUGGUAAGGUAACGGCUUACCAAGGCAACGAUGCGUAGCCGACCUGAGAGGGUGAUCGGCCACACUGGAACUGAGACACGGUCCAGACUCCUGCGGGAGGCAGCAGUAGGGAAUCUUCCGCAAUGGGCGAAAGCCUGACGGAGCAACGCCGCGUGAGUGAUGAAGGUCUUCGGAUCGUAAAACUCUGUUAUUAGGGAAGAACAAAUGUGUAAGUAACUAUGCACGUCUCGACGGUACCUAAUCAGAAAGCCACGGCUAACUACGUG